rnacentral:rRNA from 1 species
CUAGCGUAUAUUAAAGUUGUUGCAGUUAAAAAGUCUCGUAGUUGGAUUUCUGGGAGGGUGCCAAUGUCCGUCAACGUGCGUGUGCAGCGGCGCCCUUCCAUCCUUCUGUUAACGCCUCUGGGCAUUUAUUUGCUGGUGGCGAGCUCAGAUAUUUUACCUUGAGAAAAUUAGAGUGUUUCAGGCAGGCUAGGCCGGAAUACAUUAGCAUGGAAUAAUAGAAUAGGACUAUGGUCUCUUUGUUGGUUUGAGGGACUAUGGUAAUGAUUAAUAGGGAUAGUUGGGGGCAUUAGUAUUUAAUUGUCAGAGGUGGAAUUCUCAGAUUUGUUAAAGACUAACUUAUGCGAAAGCAUUUGCCAAGGAUGUUUUCAUUAAUCAAGAACGAAAGUUAGGGGAUCAAAGACGAUCAGAUACCGUCCUAGUCUUAACCAUAAACUAUGCCGACUCGGGAUCGGGGGCGCGAACUAUCCGCCUUCGGCACCGUAUGAGAAAUCAAAGUCUUU